GACGAACGCUGGCGGCGUGCUUAACACAUGCAAGUCGAGCGGUAAGGCCCUUUCGGGGGUACACGAGCGGCGAACGGGUGAGUAACACGUGGGUGACCUGCCCUCAGCUCUGGGAUAAGCCUGGGAAACUGGGUCUAAUACCGGAUAUGACUCCAUGACGCAUGUUGUGGGGUGGAAAGCCUUGUGCGGCUGAGGAUGGGCCCGCGGCCUAUCAGCUUGUUGGUGGGGUGAUGGCCUACCAAGGCGACGACGGGUAGCCGGCCUGAGAGGGCGACCGGCCACACUGGGACUGAGACACGGCCCAGACUCCGUACGGGAGGCAGCAGUGGGGAAUCUUGCGCAAUGGGCGAAAGCCUGACGCAGCGACGCCGCGUGA
rnacentral:rRNA from 1 species